CUCUGUGACUCCUACGGGAGGCAGCAGUGGGGAAUAUUGCACAAUGGGCGCAAGCCUGAUGCAGCAACGCCGUGUGAGUGAAGAAGGUUUUCGGAUCGUAAAACUCUGUCCUAAGGGAAGAAACAAAUGACGGUACCUUAGGAGGAAGCCCCGGCUAACUACGUGCCAGCAGCCGCGGUAAUACGUAGGGGGCAAGCGUUAUCCGGAAUCACUGGGCGUAAAGGGUGCGUAGGCGGCUUAGCAAGCCAGGGGUGAAAGGCAUUGGCUCAACCAAUGUAAGCCUUUGGAACUGUUAAGCUUGAGUGCAGGAGAGGUAAGUGGAAUUCCUAGUGUAGAGGUGAAAUUCGUAGAUAUUAGGAGGAACACCAGUGGCGAAGGCGACUUACUGGACUGUAACUGACGCUGAUGCACGAAAGCGUGGGUAGCGAACAGGAUUAGAUACCCUGUAG
rnacentral:rRNA from 1 species